UACGAAGGGGGCUAGCGUUGUUCGGAAUUACUGGGCGUAAAGCGCACGUAGGCGGACAUUUAAGUCAGGGGUGAAAUCCCAGAGCUCAACUCUGGAACUGCCUUUGAUACUGGGUGUCUUGAGUAUGGAAGAGGUGAGUGGAAUUCCGAGUGUAGAGGUGAAAUUCGUAGAUAUUCGGAGGAACACCAGUGGCGAAAGGCGGCUCACUGGUCCAUUUACUGACGCUGAGGUGCGAAAGGCGUGGGGAGCAAACAGG
rnacentral:rRNA from 1 species